UGGCUCAGAUUGAACGCUGGCGGCAGGCCUAACACAUGCAAGUCGAGCGGAAACGAUCCCAGCUUGCUGGGAGGCGUCGAGCGGCGGACGGGUGAGUAAUGCAUAGGAAUCUGCCCGAUAGUGGGGGAUAACCUGAGGAAACUCAGGCUAAUACCGCAUACGUCCUACGGGAGAAAGCAGGGGCUCUUCGGACCUUGCGCUAUCGGAUGAGCUUAUGUCGGAUUAGCUGGUUGGUGAGGUAACGGCUCACCAAGGCGACGAUCCGUAGCUGGUCUGAGAGGAUGAUCAGCCACAUCGGGACUGAGACACGGCCCGAACUCCUACGGGAGGCAGCAGUGGGGAAUAUUGGACAAUGGGGGCAACCCUGAUCCAGCCAUGCCGCGUGUGUGAAGAAGGCCCUCGGGUUGUAAAGCACUUUCAGUGAGGAAGAAAGCUUGUCGGUUAAUACCCGGCAAGGACGACAUCACUCACAGAAGAAGCACCGGCUAACUCCGUGCCAGCAGCCGC
rnacentral:rRNA from 1 species